rnacentral:rRNA from 1 species
AGUGAACGCUGGCGGUAGGCCUAACACAUGCAAGUCGAACGGCAGCACAGUAAGAGCUUGCUCUUACGGGUGGCGAGUGGCGGACGGGUGAGGAAUACAUCGGAAUCUACUUUUUCGUGGGGGAUAACGUAGGGAAACUUACGCUAAUACCGCAUACGACCUACGGGUGAAAGCAGGGGAUCUUCGGACCUUGCGCGAUUGAAUGAGCCGAUGUCGGAUUAGCUAGUUGGCGGGGUAAAGGCCCACCAAGGCGACGAUCCGUAGCUGGUCGGAGAGGAUGAUCAGCCACACUGGAACUGAGACACGGUCCAGACUCCUACGGGAGGCAGCAGUGGGGAAUAUUGGACAAUGGGCGCAAACCUGAUCCAGCCAUACCGCGUGGGUGAAGAAGGCCUUCGGGUUGUAAAGCCCUUUUGUUGGGAAAGAAAGGCAGCAGGUUAAUACCCCGCUGUUCUGACGGUACCCAAAGAAUAAGCACCGGCUAACUUCGUG